rnacentral:rRNA from 1 species
UACGUAGGUGGCAAGCGUUGUCCGGAAUCACUGGGCGUAAAGCGUGCGCAGGCGGUUUUGUAAGUCUGUCGUGAAAUCCCCGGGCUCAACCUGGGAAUUGCGAUGGAGACUGCAAGGCUAGAAUCUGGCAGAGGGGGGUAGAAUUCCACGUGUAGCAGUGAAAUGCGUAGAGAUGUGGAGGAACACCGAUGGCGAAGGCAGCCCCCUGGGUCAAGAUUGACGCUCAUGCACGAAAGCGUGGGGAGCAAACAGG